ACAGGUUAGUUUGGGAGCCACCACUCCUGAGCUGUGGUUUCCCUUGCCAAGUCAGACUCCUUGGGAAAACUCUAAAACUAAGGUGGCCUGACAUGCUGCACUAAUGGAGAAGGCCAGGAAAGCCUGGAUUCUGUGUGUCCUCAUUGUGCUCCCUCAUCGAUACACUGUCUCUCACCAGCCUUUGGAAUUUCCUUCCUUUGGUUUUCUGCCAUUUUUUUCUACUUUUGCUGAACUUGAGUCUGAGGCUUUCACUGCUCAAACCGCCCUUCCAGGUUGUAUUUAACAGGGCUUAACAAGCACCACCAGGCUGGGCGCAGUGGCUCACGCCUGUAAUCCCAACAUAUUGGGAAGCUGAAGUGGGAGGAUCCCUUGAAGCCAGACCAAGCAACAUGGUAAGACCCUCUUGUUCCUGGACCAAACUGAGGGUUGGGCUGCUAUUUCUCAUGGCCCAGUAACAAGAUGCAGAUGAACUAGGGAGGAAGAGAGUUUUUAUUUCUGCAACAUAAAAAGGAAAGGAAGAAAAGAAAAACGAAAAUAUUGUGUUAAUGAUGUUCACUCGGAAAAUUAAAAAAAAAAAGAAAAUAUGUAAUAAAUGUUAUAAGGUAACAAAUUCCAUAGAAUUUCAGAGGAAAUAAAAUGAACUUGUAGCUGGUAAGACAGAAGAAAAUUGUGGUGGGAGUAUAUUUGAGCUGGGCUUUAUAAGGAUUCAGAGAAUUUAACUUAAAACAGUGGGGACAAGGAGGCAUUCUAGGUACAGUGAGCAUAAGCAAUGGCAGUGACACUAAACAAACCGUGAUUUGGGAAUUGCCUGUGACCUGAAUUGGCACAGGUGGCAGGUGGGAAACAUGACUGUGACAGAGGCAAGAUAGGAUCAUGGUUCCAUCAUCAUUGUGUCAGGGACCUUAUCCUAUGGGUA
rnacentral:lncRNA from 1 species